rnacentral:rRNA from 1 species
UACAGAGGGUGCGAGCGUUGUCCGGAAUCACUGGGCGUAAAGGGCGCGUAGGUGGCCACCAUAAGGCCGCGGUGAAAGUCUGGGGCUCAACCCCGGAUCGGCCGCGGCGACUGUGGGGCUAGGGUACCGUAGAGGCAGAUGGAAUUCCUGGUGUAGCGGUGAAAUGCGCAGAUAUCAGGAGGAACACCGGUGGCGAAGGCGGGACUCUGGGCCGAUGACUGACGCUGAGGAGCGAAAGCGUGGGGAGCGAACAGG